UGGUGGAGCGAUUUGUCUGGUUAAUUCCGAUAACGAACGAGACUCUAGCCUAUUAAAUAGUUCGCCGAUUUUUCGAGUCGGCGUCAACUUCUUAGAGGGACAAGUGUCGUGUAGGCACGCGAGAUUGAGCAAUAACA
rnacentral:rRNA from 1 species